CUAUUGAAGGUAUAGAAAAGUGGCCAUAUGAAGCUGCUGCUGUAGCUUUUGAGGCUAUACCACGAACAUUGGCUCAGAACUGUGGGGUUAAUGUCAUUAGAACGAUGACAGCGCUGCAAGGAAAGGUAUACAGAAUUUGCUGGGGCAGUUCCUACUAGACCUGCAUAGGACAGUCAGGACUUGGCAUUUUCAGUUUCAAGGUUUAUACAAAAUGGUGGUUCUUUUGCCAACUACUACAUGUACCAUGGAGGAACGAAUUUUGGCCGAACUGCUAAUAUGGUAUGCAAUCUGGCAGAAAGAGUGAUCCCAGGAAUUGAGUUGGUGCGAUUAGCAUCAUGGUGUUUGCAGUAUGAACCUCGUGAGAGGCCAAAUGCCAAGUCUCUUGUGACUGCCCUUGUUCUUCUUCAAAAGGAAACUUCGUUGAAGCGUAAAGAUAUUAUAUCAGCUUUUGUUUCAUGUAUAGGUAGUUAGGAAUGAUUUCUUGUUUGGUACAUUAUCUAUCUUGAAUGUAUGGAUGUUUGAAAAAUGGUGAUUGAAUGAUAUGGAUUAGAGUAC